rnacentral:lncRNA from 1 species
ACAAAUGGAUUUCUUGGAAGGCAUAGUGCCUCUCAAAGGAACAAAAAGGCCAUCCUUGGAUGCACUAGGUCCCCAUGGGUGAGAGCGUUCGGUCCAGGGCUUCCCAGAGUGAAUCUACAAAGCCAACACGCUCAGCGCCCACAGAGAGAGAUCCCAUACUGGUCACCAGUUUGGGCCACUGAGUUCUGGAUCUCCCUCUGAACCCAAGACUUAAUAACACACAAAAAUAAAGCUGAAGGCCCAGGCAGGAAGGCGUGAUGAGCGUUCACAGGGCGGACAGGCUGGGCAUGGAGAUCCUCUCCCACAACGGGCACACUUUCAGAUGCACAAACUCAUCUCCAGGCAAUUGUUUUCUCCGUGAGUUCCCUUGAAGCAGCCAUUUGCGUCUCUUGAUCCCACACGCCGAUGACCUUGUUAGGUCUUGUUAGAUAGAUGGAAGACUGUACUGCUAAUUACAAUUUGCAAGUUGAGGUCCUUCAGGUGAAUUAAAACAAGACACUUGACGAUUAACUUAAAUAACAAAUAAUGUCAGCUUGGCCAUCUGCCGAUGGCUGGCCCCCAUCCUGACCACAGGUGCCAUCAGCAAGAGGAUCUGUUCUCUCAGCCCAGCAAGAUCGUAAAAGCCCAGGCCAAGAGACCCCGGGACCCCGGAACACCAGUGCCCGGCACAGUAAGGACUCAGCCUUCAUGGUAACGCUGCAGUCUCAGGAGAUGUACAAGAUGCAGAGGCAUGCAGAGGUCCUU